UAUCGAGCGGGGGCUGCCUCCCUCUCCCCGCUGAGAGAAGGAGGGAGCGCCUGGCCUCGCCGUGCCGCCCGCCGCGCCGCCGCCAUGCUGCCCGGGGUGGGGGUGUUCGGCACCGGGCUGACGGCGCGGGUGAUCGUGCCGCUGCUCAAGGCGGAGGGCUUCGCCGUGAAGGCGCUGUGGGGCCGCACGCCCGAGGAGGCGGAGGAGCUGGCCAAGGAGAUGAGCGUCCCCUUCUACACCAGCCGCAUCGACGAGGUGCUGCUGCACCAGGACGUCGACCUGGUCUGCGUCAACCUGCCGCCGCCGCUCACCCGGCAGGUCGCCGUCAAGACCCUGGGCAUUGGGAAAAACGUCAUCUGUGACCGCACGGCGACUCCCCUGGAUGCCUUUAGGAUGAUGACUGCGGCUCAUUACUACCCGAAGCUCAUGAGCAUCAUGGGGAACGUUUUGCGCUUCCUGCCCGCCUUCGUGAAGAUGAAGCAGCUGAUCCAGGAGGGUUACGUGGGGGAGCUGCUGGUGUGCGAGGUGCAGGUGCACAGUGGGAGCCUGCUGGGCAAGAAGUACAACUGGAGCUGUGAUGACCUGAUGGGAGGCGGGGGCUUGCACUCGGUGGGCACCUACAUCAUCGACCUGCUGACCUUCCUCACCAGCCAGAAGGCCGUGAAGGUGCACGGGCUGCUCAAGACCUUCGUGAAGCAGACGGACCACAUCAAGGGCAUCCGGCAGAUCACCAGCGACGACUUCUGCACCUUCCAGAUGGUGCUGGAAGGGGGCGUGUGCUGCACGGUGACGCUCAACUUCAACAUCCCGGGCGAGUUCAAGCAGGACAUCAUCGUGGUGGGCUCGGCGGGACGGCUCAGCGUGAUAGGCACGGAUCUCUACGGACAGAGCAACAGCUCUCCUCAGCGGGAGCUCCUGCUGAAGGACUCCACGCCCGUCAGCAACUCCUUGCUUCCGGAGAAAGCCUUCAGUGACAUCCCGUCCCCCUACCUGCGGGGCACCAUCAAGAUGGUCCAGGCUGUCCGGCAGGCCUUUGAGGACCAGGACGACAGGAGGACCUGGGACGGGAGGCCCCUUACCAUGGCUGCCACUUUUGACGACUGCCUGUACGCCCUGUGUGUGGUGGACACCAUUAAAAAGUCAAACCAGCUGGGGGAGUGGCAGAACAUUUCCAUCAUGACUGAGGAGCCAGAACUGAGCCCGGCAUACUUGAUCAGCGAAGCCAUGCGGAAGAGCAGGAUGUCUCUGUACUGCUAGCUCCUCUCAGCUCCUAGGAGAGAAUAGGAACCAGACAGCUCUUGGAGGAGAUGGUAAUUCAGCCCAUCUUGGGUGUCUUAGAAACAGCUGAGGAUACAGGAGAAGGAAACACAGUGUCUGGAUCAAUUAAAUCUGUUGGCAGCUAAAUGCCAAACUGAUAUGGUCCUUUGAGCUGCCCCCAAACGGACAGGAGACUUAUGAGCUGAUAAACUCAACUGUUUUAAUAACAGUAUUAGCUGGCUGAUUGCAAAGAUAUAUCACGGACUCAUCCCCUGCUUGCAGGUGCUCUAGAUUAUCCAAUUGUGUUUACUGUGAAAGGUUGGGAAGAUCCUUUUGGAUUUUCCUUACCUACCAGAGGGCUGUGAAGGUACUGUCAUGUCGUUAAAUUUUCUGUAGUGUCUGACAUGAAUGGUUCCUACCAUGACAGCUGACACCACCAUGCUGUAUUACUACACCUCCGGCCAACACACAGAAUAACAGGACUUGAUGUGAAAGUAUUGCAGGAUUCAGAAAAUCUUGGCAGCUCACUUCUCAUACAGCCUGUUAGGAGCUUCUCUGUGUUGGUUUAGUAUUUGUUUUUUGUUUGGUUUGGUUUUGGUUUCUUGUUUUUCAGUUUUGUUUUUUUUUUUAAAGCACAAUUAAAUAGGAAAAUGUGUGGCUUUUAAAACAAAGGAGUCCUCAACAGUGCAUAUGCCCGGGUAUUUGGGGAGGGAGGGUCUUCUGUGAGCUCCUGGUAAGCAUCAGUGUUAUGGGUUUGCUGAUUAAAAGAGGUGGUGGAAAACCUUCAUGGAUGGCAGGUGGCAUGGCACGAUAAUGAUAAUGGGGUUUGUUAUACAGCCAAAUUCAGGCUAGUCUUACAAAGAUUUGCACAAAAUUUCAUGUGUUUGGGACUGACUUUUGGGUGAAUCAUCAUGCAUUUUGGUUUUAGGAGGGAGACAGUAGGAGUAUAACCCAAAACCAUAUGAUGUUUAGGUGAGUGGUGUUCUUUUAAAUCACUGUGAACUCACGCUUGAAGAGAUGCACAUCAACAAGUAAUUUCACAUCCCUCUACCCAGAAGUUCUCACCUCCACCAAUUGGUGAGUGUGAGUGAAAGACAAAAGGGAUGAGAAAAUUUCCCAUUUAUUUACAAGGAAAAAAAAUAACACAGGACCCCCAGCCUCCUCACCUCCUUAAAGUGGCCAGCUACUGGUACUGUAUUAAUCAUUCCCUGUCACCAGUGCAGGGGUGGACAAACUCUUUUGCUUCUUUGUUUGUCCUGUUCUUCUUUUUAAUAUUUUAGAUAGCAGUCUUGAAAUAAUUAUUCUUUUGAGAAUAUCUUCUUGAAAGAGUAUAAUGAAAGGCACAUGAUUUAUCCCAGUAAACAGGGAUACUGUUUUUCUGUGUAAAGCUGCUCCAGUGCUGAUGUGUUUACAGCACUAGGUCUUCACAUAGUAAAAAAGUAGAACACAAGCAUAUAGCACUAACUCAUAUUAAACUUGAGAAAAACCUUUUCAGGGUUUUUUUUGUUAAUUUUGACUAUGGGAAAUAGGAGAACAUUGGGAUGACCAGUAAAUCUAAAGAGAAAAUAUGUUUUGAACAGGAGGGCAUCAAUAGUGUUGUUCAUCUUACUCUGGCUUCGGUCGGCUCAGAGUCGGAUGUCUUGUUCUGAUCAGCAAGAACACAGCAGUCAAUACAGAGAGAGCUCUCCAAAGGCUGACUCAGUUCACCCUAGGAUUAAUAUAGAAAGAGGUGCCCACUGGAAAUGCCUGUCCUCCUCCUCUGCAGAGAAUUUUGGCAUCUAAAUUUUGAUGUGGCUGAAGUUAGGAAACUUGACUCCCAGCCCAAAAUUAUUCAUGUCUGCUUAAUAUUUCAAGAGCAUAUGUGUGACCUUCUGUUAAAUAGUCCCCAAAGUGUAAUAGUGUGACUGAUGAAGGAAUAAUGUAAUACUGCAAAACCUCACCCUAGGGGAGAAUUGUUUCUAUCCAUGUUGUUCUGCCAGUUCUGGCAACUCUCUCUGGGGCUGUUUCUGCUAAAACCUUGAGCAAGGCUUCAUCAUUCCUUCUUGGAAGCAGCCCUUGACAAGUUUGGUUGUUUUUCUUUAAAAUGGGUUUCUCUGAGAAUUCCAGAGGUAAUAUGUGUGCCAAUAGGAAUUUCCCAUUGCAACUGUCAUGGUAUACACCAGUUCCUGCCCUGAAAAGUGAGUAACACAGAAGAGAAGAUUUGAUCGGGAAAUCUGUCUCCUGAAAAACAGAAUUACCCCCAGGGGGAUCAAGAGAAUUUUCAUACAGUGAAGCAAAACCCAUUUACUGAAAAGAGUGGCUAGUUCAACUCAUGAAUGCAAGCCUGGUGGAUAAUUAACCACAUCUAGUUAAACAUCAUCCAAAAAUGGAACCAAACAUGGACCAAAAUGUUUGUGAAUCUUGCUUCUCAGUGGUUUGGUGAUUGUGCUGGCGUCGCUGUUCAUGUCUUUGCACUUUGUUUUGGUUCUCAAAUGUUGGCUGUGUUUCCUCUCUGUGUUUUCUUCUUUUCAGUGUCUUUCUGGGUUUUGUGAUGCCAGUUGGAAUCCUUUUCCUUGCCCCUGCAGUGAACAGGCAAGACACAGUGAGUAGGGAUAGUACUACUGAGCUCAAACUUUCUGCCCCAGAUCCAAAGGCUUAGGUGACAGGCAUCAUCCAUCCUCUGUGCAGACCUACUGAUGCAGCAGAAAGAAAAUCCAGUGCUGUGGUUACACAGGCAUCUGAUGCUGCUGUUGGUAUUGGCUUGUGAAUGGGUGGAGUCUUGAACAGCUCCUUGUGCUGGCCCAGAGAGAGCAGGGACAGGGUGGGACCUCCUCUUCUAAUGGCAACUGAGAUGCUACAUUUGUGUUACCGAAGUGGAAUGGCAGCAGGAGCUGCAUACCUUCAGGAUUGUACAGCAGUUUUUCCAUUUCCUAGGAGGUGAAGGUGCUGCAGUGUCAAGUGUAAACGUACUAAACUUCCACCUGGCUUGGAGGAGGAAAGAAUAGGUUUAUUUAUUGAAUGUGUAUUGUUAUCCUGACAACAAACUAUUGUUUCUUUAUAGUCUGGGAUUUUUCUUGGCAGCAUCCAGUCCUCUGCUCCUUUGGUACAGUUGAAUUUGCCUCUGGGGUUGAAGUUUGGUUUAGGAAUUUGGGCAUUAGAUAGCAGAGAUGUACUUGAUUGAACUCAGAAGUAGUACCAUCCCAGGAAACAUCUAUUUGGAGUUGCACUUUUAAUGCUGUGCCACAAGGUUUGAGAUGAAUGCUGCUGAAUUGGUGCAGGCCUAAGAGCCAAACUGCAGCUACUGCUGGAAUUUGCAGUAGCCCCAAAUGAUGAACUUGUUCAUACACUAGGUAAGAAAUUUCACUCCUCUUUCCCAGGGCUGCUGUUGGAGAGGCUCUUUCCUUUGCCAUCAACCUGUGCACGUAGGAUACCGAUCAUUAUGGUCUGUUGCCAUAGACAAAAAGAGCCAAAGGGUGAGCUUUGCUGCUCUGCAGGGCUCUGUUCCAGUGCUGGAACAGUCAGAUGGGAGAGGGUGUCUUAUUUCCCAUGGGAAUUGCAUUGGGGUUCACACCAGGGGUAGGACAACCCUGCGCUGUGACAGCAGGGCACAACUGAACUGAAAUGUGCCCAAAGGGAGGGUGGUGACUGCAGCAGGGAGCAGCAGGAAGGUGUCUGCAGGCUGGUACCUCUGUGCCUGCCCUGCAGGGAGGAUAUGCUGCUGGUGUGGAGGGUGAGGGCUGCGCUUCCUGGGGGUGACAGCAGCAUCCUUGCUCCACCUCUGUGUGUGGGAGCCCAAGAAGGGACUCUGCCCUUGGGGAAGCAGGGUCUGUGCCAUACUCCGGCUGGAUAUGCACAUCCUCAGUGCUGAUCUCAGUGAAGUCCUACAUGGAAACAUAAGAACUCUGCAGGAGCUUGGGGUUGCCUGUAUCUAGUACCACACGUGUUAAAUCCACAGUUCUUCAGCUGUGUAGUUAGAAAAUACCAAGUAGAGAUGAUGGGACCUUACCCAUGCAGCCAACAUGGCAGAGAAUCAGGCCAUGAUUCUGAGUUUCAGCUCAGGAUGGGCUCUCUGGAGCUCUUCCUUUGCUUUUGUUGGAAGCACAAGAAAUCCCUGCCCAGCCAGCAUUGGGCCAUCAAAGGCACUAUCCACUUAGUACAAAGUGUUCCCUUCUUUUCCAUAACUUUCUAAAAAGUGACUGUACAAGUGAACAGCUGUCCUGGAAGUUCAGCCAUUCAUAAAAAGGAGGCUUUUCUGCUGCAUGUGGUCACAGCACAAGGACAAUCCAAUUUCUUGUUUAUUUUUGUGUCCAUACAAAUGUGGAACAGACCCAGACAAUUUAAAGUGACUCACUGAUCUAGCAAGAAAAGGCAUAUUUUAUUUAAUGGGUAAAGGUAAACAUAGUAUCUUGAUGUUGUUUUUGCAGAGGUUCAGAAAUUAGUGAUGCCAGAAUUUCAUGUUGCUGGGAAUUCUUGUAUUUGAUUUUUAUUUUUGUCUUUCAGCAUAAGAUAUUGCUCACUAUGAAUCUAUUCACUCUUAAGUUCUGUAUUUACAAGCCAGAGUUCUGGCUUUGUGCAGAUACUCCACAAUGGUUUGGUGUUCCAGUGGCCCAGUGAUGUACCUUUAGUAUGUAUGAAACUCAGCACUGGACUUUUGACCUCUGCAGUGAUCUCUUAGUAUCUGGGGACUAGUUGUGAAAUGGCAGGAUUAUUCAGGACAGCAGUUUCUUUUUGUUGUUGUUGAAGUUGUUAUUUGUGGGGCGCAAAGUUUGUAAAUUUUAGAGAUGAAGUGUGACUGAAUAAUGUUUGGCAGUCUUAUCUGCUUUAAAAUUUUCUCUUCCUUGAGCUGCUGGGUGAAGUCUAUCCAAUAAAAAUAAUUUUCCCUUAACUGACCACUUCCAUUUGCUCAUGAAAAGAAGAAAUUUUUAAGUAAAUGGGACUACACAUAAUGCUGCAUUCAUGAACUGAUGUCAAACCCUUAUGACUAAAUGAGUAUAUGAAGCCCCAGUCCAAACAACUAAUGUCUUUUUUGAGGCUGCCAGAUUGAGGCCUUGGGGUUGGGGAAAGAAGGGUAUCAGCACAGAUCAGACUGAAAUAGCUUUUAUUCAGCAUUUUGAGUAAAAUGAAUAAAACAGAAUGGCUAUGGUCAAUCCAAAACUGAACACAUGUUUGUAUAAGGGUAUUUAUUUACAUUUUUUUUAUUUUGGGAUUAAGUUCCAUUUUAAAAGAAUGCUGUUUUGAAAUGAAAGCUUUCAAAAUCUAUCUUUUAUUAUGUUUUGGCAUGUGCAACUGUUUGGGGUUGGGUGUGGGGGGCUUUUUGUUUUGUUUUGUUUUGUUUUUUUUAAUCCAUACUUUAAAAAUCUCAUCUCUUUGGUUUAAGGAUGUUCAGUGAAUUCAGCUGCCCUUGUGCAGGUUCAGCUCUGAAGCUGCACCCUCACAGUGUCUUACUGUGACCCCAUUUUUAGCAUCUGAAUUUGGCCUUCUGGGUUUCAUAUGUGUCUUCUUGCGGCAGUGGGAAAAUUGUUUCAAUCCAUGGAGUUAGCAACAGAUAAUCAAGACACUUUUUGCAGCAAUGCCAGCCAUCAUCUUAAAAAGCACUUAACUCUAUUGACUUGUUUACCUUAGUUAUUUAUGACCUUCCAGGCAUGUGCUGUCCAUUAUUUGUUUUCCUUUUUUUAUAUCAGCCAUUGGACUCACUUCCCUGCUUUCUCUGUUUCUCAUUCCAUUGCAAACCUGAAAGGUGAGCCUCCCUUGUUACCCACUGAGCUGCUGCUCAGUCUGUGUUACACAUGGCAUACAGGGUGGCUAACUACAACUUGAAGUGACUUUUAACACAGGUCCAUUACAGGACAGGUGAACACCACAGUUGCUCAAGUACAGGGCACUCCGAGUGCCCAGCCAGGGCAGGAAUCAAAGCUCCCUGCUGUGCUGUGCUUCAUGAGCAACAUUCACUGUUUCUCUCCCACUGGUUUGCUUUUAUUUGAUUUUGAAAAGGAGAAAAUGUUCAGUUUGUUGCUGUGUCAAUAUUAAGUGUAUAUUUAUUGUUUUUCAGACAUACAUACAUAUAUAUAAAUGCUAUAUAUAUAUAAUGUCAACGCAUGGACAUAUGUACAGUAGAUAUUUUAAAGAGCUAUUUAUCAAGAAAAGUAAGUGUUAUAAGUAAACAGAGUUUAUAUUUUAUAUAUUAUGUAGAUAGCAAAAAAAAAAAAAAGUGGUUAAAUUAUACUAGGACUUUUGGGGGUGGGGUUGGAGAAAUGGGCAAGGACUGGCAUUUUAAACAGCCAAACUACUUUGUACGGAAGCUGCCUGCUGUGCCUCUCGGCUGCAAUAUCUGUUUGUUUCUUCUUUUGGAAGAUGAUGUGCAUUGUUACUUUUACAUUGCUUGGGGAAUGUAGUUAGUUUACUCUCAGCCAACUGGUAUGUGCUGCUUUUAAAACAUGGUUUCCUGCUGUUCUGCAUAAUUGCAUUGAUGGAAUAAAAGGAUCUUAACUGGCAAAUAAAGAUGUAAAAGGAUGUGA